CGGGGCGUGGCCCAGUCCGGCUUAGGGCACCUGAAUGGGGUUCAGGGGGUCCCCGGUUCGAAUCCGGGCGCCCCGA
rnacentral:tRNA from 1 species